rnacentral:rRNA from 1 species
GGAGAACGCUGGCGGCGUGGAUUAGGCAUGCAAGUCGAACGGUAGGAUCCUUUCGGGGAUCUGAGAGUGGCGAACGGGUGAGUAACACGUAGGUGAUCUACCCUCAAGACGGGGACAACCCAGGGAAACUUGGGCUAAUACCGGAUGUGAGCUAUCGCGAGAUAGUUUGAAAGGGUGGCUUCGGCUGCCGCUUGAGGAUGAGCCUGCGUCCUAUUAGCUAGUUGGUGAGGUAACGGCUCACCGAGGCAGUGAUAGGUAGGCGGCCUUAACGGGUGGUCGCCCACACUGGGAUUGAGAUACGGCCCAGACUCCUACGGGAGGCAGCAGUCGAGAAUAGUCUACAAUGGUCGAAAGACUGAUAGUGCGACGCCGCGUGAACGAAGAAGCCCUUCGGGGUGUAAAGUUCUUUUAUAUGUGAGCAGUGACACCCAUAUUAAUAGUAUGGGUGUAGAGAUAUUAGCAUAUGAAUAAGCAACGGCUAACUCCGUG